rnacentral:rRNA from 1 species
GCGAAAGCGAGUCUGAAUAGGGCGAAAGAGUUAGCAGUAGUAGACGCGAAACCUAGUGAUCUACCCUUGGCCAGGUUGAAGUAUCCGUAAAAGGU